UACGGAGACUGCGAGCGUUACUCGGAUUUACUGGGCGUAAAGCGUGCGUAGAUGGUCUUGUGUGUCAGGUGUGAAAUACCGGGGCUUAACUCCGGAAUUGCGCCUGAAACUGCUUGACUAGAGUCUCGGGGAGGUAAGCGGAAUUCCUAGUGUAGCAGUGAAAUGCGUAGAUAUUAGGAGGAACACCAAAGGCGAAGGCAGCUUACUGGACGAGUUCUGACGUUGAGGCACGAAAGCGUGUGUAGCAAAAGGG
rnacentral:rRNA from 1 species